AAUAUCCUCUUGGUCCUUCUCUUGAACUUGAGCACUUUGCUCAAUGUUCUUGCUUGUCCCUAUUGCCCUUACCCUUCUCCCAAGCCUCCAAAAAAGCCUCCCGUUGUGAAACCACCGGUUCACAAACCACCAAAACCAUGUCCACCACCCAAGUCAUCUCCAAAACCACCCCAUGUACACCCUCCCUAUGUUCCAAAACCUCCUCACUACCCUAAACCACCAGUUCAUCCACAUCCACCCCAUGUCCCAAAACCUCAUCCAAAGCCUCCAGUGCAUCCCCAUCCACCUUAUGUCCCAAAACCACCAGUUGUGCCAGUUACACCACCAUAUGUUCCAAAACCACCAAUUGUGAACCCUCCCUAUGUCCCAAAACCGCCUGUUGUGCCAGUUACACCACCUUAUAUCCCUAAACCACCAGUUGUGACACCACCAUAUGUCCCUAAACCACCAGUGGUGCCAGUUACACCACCAUAUGUCCCUAAACCACCAGUGGUGCCAGUUACACCACCUUAUGUGCCAAAACCACCCAUUGUGAAACCACCAAUUGUUUAUCCACCAGUUGUGCCAAAACCACCAAUUGUUACACCACCUUAUGUGCCAAAACCACCCAUUGUGAAACCACCAAUUGUUUAUCCACCAGUUGUGCCAAAACCACCAAUUGUUACACCACCUUAUGUGCCAAAACCACCCAUUGUGAAACCACCAAUUGUUUAUCCACCAGUUGUGCCAACACCACCUAUUGUGUAUCCACCUGUUGUACCAACUCCAC
rnacentral:lncRNA from 1 species